UACGUAGGGUGCGAGCGUUGUCCGGAAUUAUUGGGCGUAAAGGGCUCGUAGGCGGUUUUUCGCGUCGGGGGUGAAAUCCACUGGCUUAACUGGUGGCUUGCUUUCGAUACGGGCAGACUGGAGGUAUGCAGGGGAGAACGGAAUUCCUGGUGUAGCGGUGAAAUGCGCAGAUAUCAGGAGGAACACCGGUGGCGAAGGCGGUUCUCUGGGCAUGUCCUGACGCUGAGGAGCGAAAGCGUGGGGAGCGAACAGG
rnacentral:rRNA from 1 species